AUAUCUAAAAAAAAAAAAAAAAAAAAAAAUCAAAAAACAAAGAAAAAUGAAAAGAUGUAAAGGCCUCAGUCUUAACAACCCUACACAAGAACAAGACAGUUUUCUCAUAGACUGAAAAGAAGAUGACAUUAAAAGCUAAAACAACACAUUCCCCAUUUGAAGACGCUAGUUUUGAAUGUGCUGGGUUGAUUGAAAAACGAAAAAAAAAAAAAAAAAAAAAAAAAAAAAAAGGACCCUGCUUACACAGAAACCCUUGAAAUGUUAGAUAACUUCCAUCGACAAAAAUACAAAGCCCUUUAACAGCAUUUUUUCUCCAACAGCACUAUUUUGGAAGAGUUCAAAUUCGAGGGUGACAGACUCGAGACGGCCCCGCAUCGCUUGUUUUGACACAUCAUGUUUUUGAUCUCAAAACUAGUUUUUUCCGCAUGGUAAGGAGCAUGUUUUGCAAGCAUCCUGUAAUAUCAUUAUACAAAAAAGAGAAAAGGAUCUUGUGAUUGUUUGAAACUCUUAGAUUGUGCACGUGUAAAAUAAUCUCUUGAGAUGGAAAAGUAAUUAUUUCCCUAUUGACGGUAUCAUUUAUUUUUAUUGGUGAUCUUAUAUUCAAUGCUAGUCCUGCUCUAAGCGAAUAGAAAUUGAGCAGAUUAACUAAGACAAAAGUCAAAAUUGAACGCAUCUAACAAAAAUCCCCUAGAAAAAGCUGAACCAAAAGUUACCAUUGAUAAUCCUGUACGAGAAAUAUUGUAGCACAUAUAGGACAUUCAAUUUCUGGUCUCAGACCAAUUUUAUGCCAAAGCUCAAAUAAAUGAUUGACAAUGUGAUCUUGUUUAAUUUUUGUUAAUUAAUUUUUUGCAAUAAAGUUAAUUUGUUUAAACAGUU
rnacentral:lncRNA from 1 species